rnacentral:rRNA from 1 species
AUUGAACGCUGGCGGCAGGCCUAACACAUGCAAGUCGAACGGUAACAGGGAUCAGCUUGCUGAUUCGCUGACGAGUGGCGGACGGGUGAGUAAUGUCUGGGAAACUGCCUGAUGGAGGGGGAUAACUACUGGAAACGGUAGCUAAUACCGCAUAACGUCGCAAGACCAAAGAGGGGGACCUUCGGGCCUCUUGCCAUCGGAUGUGCCCAGAUGGGAUUAGCUAGUAGGUGGGGUAACGGCUCACCUAGGCGACGAUCCCUAGCUGGUCUGAGAGGAUGACCCGCCCCACUGAAACUGGACCACGGUCCAGCCUCCUACGGGAGGCAGCGGUGGGGAAUAUUGCACAAUGGGCGAAAGCCUGAUGCAGCCAUGCCGCGUGUAUGAAGAAGGCCUUCGGGUUGUAAAGUACUUUCAGGGGGGAGGAAGGGAGUAAAGUUAAUCCCUUUGCCCAUUGACUUUACCCGCAGAAAAAGCACCGGCUAACCCCGU